rnacentral:rRNA from 1 species
UACAGAGGUCCCAAGCGUUGUUCGGAUUCACUGGGGCGUAAAGGGUGCGUAGGCGGUCGGGUAAGUCUGAUGUGAAAUCUCACAGCUUAACUGUGAAACUGCAUUGGAUACUAUCCGGCUCGAGGAAUGGAGGGGAGACUGGAAUACUUGGUGUAGCAGUGAAAUGCGUAGAUAUCAAGUGGAACACCAGUGGCGAAGGCGAGUCUCUGGACAUUUCCUGACGCUGAGGCACGAAAGCCAGGGGAGCAAACGGG